rnacentral:rRNA from 1 species
UGGGGAAUUUUGCGCAAUGGGCGAAAGCCUGACGCAGCAACGCCGCGUGGAGGAUGAAGGUUCUCUGAAUCGUAAACUCCUGUCGGCCGGGAAGAAUGGGCGGGGCGCUAAUCAGCUCCGUCUUGACUGUACCGGCAAAGGAAGCCCCGGCUAACUCCGUGCCAGCAGCCGCGGUAAUACGGAGGGGGCAAGCGUUACUCGGAAUUAUUGGGCGUAAAGGGCGCGUAGGCGGCCACGUGCGUCAGAGGUGAAAUCCCCCGGCUUAACCGGGGACCUGCCUCUGAUACGGCGCGGCUUGAGUCCGGGAGAGGGGAGCAGAAUUCCCAGUGUAGCGGUGAAAUGCGUAGAUAUUGGGAGGAAUACCGGUGGCGAAGGCGGCUCCCUGGACCGGUACUGACGCUGAGGCGCGAAAGCGUGGGUAGCAAACAGGAUUAGAUACCCCCGUAGUCC